UACGGGAGGCAGCAGGGGGAAUAUUGCACAAUGGGCGCAAGCCUGAUGCAGCCAUGCCGCGUGUAUGAAGAAGGCCUUCGGGUUGUAAAGUACUUUCAGUCGUGAGGAAGGUGUUAAGGUUAAUAACCUUAGCAAUUGACGUUAGCGACAGAAGAAGCACCGGCUAACUCCGUGCCAGCAGCCGCGGUAAUACGGAGGGUGCGAGCGUUAAUCGGAAUUACUGGGCGUAAAGGGCACGCAGGCGGUUAAUUAAGUUGGAUGUGAAAUCCCCGGGCUUAACCUGGGAAUGGCAUUCAAGACUGGUUAGCUAGAGUCUUGUAGAGGGGGUAGAAUUCCAUGUGUAGCGGUGAAAUGCGUAGAGAUGUGGAGGAAUACCGGUGGCGAAGGCGGCCCCUGGACAAAGACUGACGCUCAUGUGCGAAAGCGUGGGGAGCAAACAGGGAUUAGAUCC
rnacentral:rRNA from 1 species